rnacentral:lncRNA from 1 species
ACUUGCCUGGGGCAGACGCCCUGUACGACGGCAUCUUGAAUUUGGGCAUUUUGAACUUGCUGUCUUUGGCAGUCACAUCCUUGUCGGCCAGGGACAGGUCCCCCUCCAGCCGUGCACCAUCCAACUUGGCUCCUGGGGCCUCGACAUCCACCUCCAUGCCGGGCUGAGACACCUCCACGUCGGGGGCCGUCACGUCCGUCUUCGGGCCUUUCAGGUCCAGCUUGGGGCCCUUGAUGUCUAU